GAUGAACGCUGGCGGCGUGCCUAAUACAUGCAAGUCGAGCGAACAGACGAGGAGCUUGCUCCUCUGACGUUAGCGGCGGACGGGUGAGUAACACGUGGAUAACCUACCUAUAAGACUGGUAUAACUUCGGGAAACCGGCGCUAAUACCGGAUAAUAUAUUGAACCGCAUGGUUCAAUAGUGAAAGACGGUUUUGCUGUCACUUAUAGCUGGAUCCGCGCCGCUUUAGCUAGUUGGUAAGGUAACGGCUUACCAAGGCAACGAUGCGUAGCCGACCUGAGAGGCGGAUCGGCCACACGGGAGCUGAACCAGCGUCCAGACUCCUACGGGAGGCAGCAGUAGGGAAUCUUCGGCAAUGGGCGAAAGCCUGACGGAGCAACGCCGAGUGAGUGAUGAAGGUCUCGGGUUCGUAAAAAUCUGUUAUGAGGGAAGAACAAAUGUGGAAGUAACCAUGCACGUCUUGACGGUACCUAAUCAGAAAGCCACGGCUAACUACGUG
rnacentral:rRNA from 1 species